GUCCGAUUGAUGCAAACGGUAGACAUGACUGACUCAAAAUCAGUUUUCUGAGGGUUCGAAACCCUUGUCGGACACCA
rnacentral:tRNA from 1 species